CAGGGAUCAAAUUCAGGACCUCGCGCUUGUGAGGCAGGCGCAGCACCACUGAGCUGAAUCCCCGGCCCUAUUUUAUUUAAUUUACUCAGUGGCUUUCAUGAGGCAUGAUGAAGCAGUCUAAGCAAUGUGGGGCUCCACAUACAUGCAAGAUAUGUGGAUGUAACAUAAGGCUUUGCAAAGCAUGUUGAGAUGACAGUGUGCUUACUAGCUGCACCUCCUUGAGCAAUGUGGAACAGAAGACCAAGGUAAAGCACCAGAACUGUAUGAAAGGAGGGUGCCAGACUAUUUCUCUCUCUGGCAAUUCCAUUAAAAAGGCAAAAUAAACAAAAGAAUAUAUCCAUGGUAAUACUGAAAAUGAAGGAAUAAUAUCCUCAAAUUGAAGGAAGAGACAUAUACAUGGAUCAAACUCAGGACCUUGCACUUGCGAGGAGGUUCAGUACCACUGAGCUAAAUUUUAUAUACACCUUAAACAUGUGGCUUGAAAACAAUGUUACAAAUAUUUUCAUGGUAAGUAUAUUUGACUGUGACCCCGUACAGAAUUCUAGUGUGGGAUUUUCCAGUUGUCUUCAGAUUUUGGAGCAUUUUGGACUUUAGACUUUCAUUUUA
rnacentral:lncRNA from 1 species